CGGCGAGUGAAGCGGCAACAGCUCAAAUUUGAAAUCUGGCCUUCUGGUCCGAAUUGUAAUUUGUAGAGGAUGACUUUGGUUAGGUACCUUUCGAGUUCCUUGGAACAGGACGCCUUAGAGGGUGAGAGCCCCGUACGAUUGGAUGCCGAGCCUCUGUAAGUCUCCUUCGACGAGUCGAGUAGUUUGGGAAUGCUGCUCUAAAUGGGAGGUAAAUUUCUUCUAAAGCUAAAUACCGGCCAGAGACCGAUAGCGCACAAGUAGAGUGAUCGAAAGAUGAAAAGCACUUUGAAAAGAGGGUUAAAUAGUACGUGAAAUUGUUGAAAGGGAAGGGCUUAUGACCAGACCUUUGCAUUGAGGAUCAUCCGGUGUUCUCACCGGUGCACUUCUCUUUGUUGAGGCCAGCAUCAGUUCUAGUUGGGGGAUAAAGACUUUAGGAAUGUGAUUCCUCCGGGAAUGUUAUAGCCUUUUGUGUAAUACCCUGACCGGGACUGAGGACCGCGCUUCGGCUAGGAUGCUGGCAUAAUGGUCAUCAGCCACCCGUCUUGAAACACGGACCAAGGAGUCGAACAUUUAUG
rnacentral:rRNA from 1 species